rnacentral:rRNA from 1 species
UACGGAGGGGGCUAGCGUUGUGCGGAAUUACUGGGCGUAAAGCGCACGUAGGCGGCUUUGCAAGUUAGAGGUGAAAGCCCGGGGCUCAACUCCGGAAUUGCCUUUAAAACUGCAUCGCUAGAACUGUGGAGAGGUAAGUGGAAUUCCGAGUGUAGAGGUGAAAUUCGUAGAUAUUCGGAAGAACACCAGUGGCGAAGGCGACUUACUGGACACAUAUUGACGCUGAGGUGCGAAAGCGUGGGGAGCAAACAGG